CCUACGGGAGGCAGCAGUGGGGAAUCUUGCACAAUGGGGGAAACCCUGAUGCAGCGACGCCGCGUGAGUGAAGAAGUAUUUCGGUACGUAAAGCUCUAUCAGCAGGGAAGAAAAUGACGGUACCUGACUAAGAAGCCCCGGCUAACUACGUGCCAGCAGCCGCGGUAAUACGUAGGGGGCAAGCGUUAUCCGGAUUUACGGGGUGUAAAGGGAGCGUAGACGGCAGCGCAAGUCUGGAGUGAAAUCCCAUGGCUUAACCAUGGAACUGCUUUGGAAACUGUGCAGCUAGAGUGCAGGAGAGGUAAGCGGAAUUCCUAGUGUAGCGGUGAAAUGCGUAGAUAUUAGGAGGAACACCAGUGGCGAAGGCGGCUUACUGGACUGUAACUGACGUUGAGGCUCGAAAGCGUGGGGAGCAAACAGGAUUAGAUACCCCAGUAGUC
rnacentral:rRNA from 1 species